CCGAUUGUUUAGCCAACCGUAGUCUAGGGAUAGUGCAUCGUUGGCAACGGCGUUGUGCGGAGCUUCCUGACAGUGUACCCUGAAAGAGUGUGUAUUUGUCACGAGACAAUGCGCAAAGUCUGCCAGUCACACGUGGCGGACGAGGGG
rfam:Candidatus Burkholderia pumila strain TZHbot3 BPMIctg127, whole genome shotgun sequence.